rnacentral:rRNA from 1 species
AUUGAACGCUGGCGGCAUGCCUUACACAUGCAAGUCGAACGGCAGCGGACCUUCGGGUGCCGGCGAGUGGCGAACGGGUGAGUAAUGUAUCGGAACGUACCUUUCAGUGGGGGAUAACGUAGCGAAAGUUGCGCCAAUACCGCAUAUUCUGUGAGCAGGAAAGCAGGGGAUCGCAAGACCUUGCGCUGAUUGAGCGGCCGAUAUCAGAUUAGCUAGUUGGUGAGGUAAAGGCUCACCAAGGCGACGAUCGGUAGCGGGUCUGAGAGGAUGAUCCGCCACACUGGAACUGAGACACGGUCCAGACUCCUACGGGAGGCAGCAGUGGGGAAUUUUGGACAAUGGGGGCAACCCUGAUCCAGCCAUGCCGCGUGAGUGAAGAAGGCCUUCGGGUUGUAAAGCUCUUUCGUCCGGGAAGAAAUCGCAUCAGCUAAUACCUGGUGUGGAUGACGGUACCGGAAUAAGAAGCACCGGCUAACUACGUGCCAGCAGCCGCAGUAACAC